UAGCCAGCACCUCUCCUAAACAGGUGUUCUACUCCCCUAGCCAGCACCUCUCCUAAACAGGUGUUCUCCUCCCCUAGCCAGCACCUCUCCUAAACAGGUGUUCUACUCUGCUAGCCAGCACCUCUCCUAAACAGGUGUUCUACUCUGCUAGCCAGCACCUCUCCUAAACAGGUGUUCUACUCCCCUAGCCAGCACCUCUCCUAAACAGGUGUUCUACUCCCCUAGCCAGCACCUCUCCUAAACAGGUGUUCUACUCUGCUAGCCAGCACCUCUCCUAAACAGGUGUUCUACUCCGCUAGCCAGCACCUCUCCUAAACAGGUGUUCUACUCCGCUAGCCAGCACCUCUCCUAAACAGGUGUUCUACUCUGCUAGCCAGCACCUCUCCUAAACAGGUGUUCUACUCCCCUAGCCAGCACCUCUCCUAAACAGGUGUUCUACUCUGCUAGCCAGCACCUCUCCUAAACAGGUGUUCUACUCUGCUAGCCAGCACCUCUCCUAAACAGGUGUUCUACUCUGCUAGCCAGCACCUCUCCUAAACAGGUGUUCUACUCCCCUAGCCAGCACCUCUCCUAAACAGGUGUUCUACUCCGCUAGCCAGCACCUCUCCUAAACAGGUGUUCUACUCUGCUAGCCAGCACCUCUCCUAAACAGGUGUUCUAC